GGGGAUUUAGCUCAGUGGCAUAAGCACCUGCCUUGAAAGCAGGGGGUCAUGAGUUCAAUCCCCG
rfam:Cavia porcellus supercont2_14 genomic scaffold, whole genome shotgun sequence.